CAGUACCGCGGGAAUACGAAGGGUGCAAGCGUUACUCGGAAUUACUGGGCGUAAAGCGUGCGUAGGUGGUGGUUUAAGUCCGUUGUGAAAGCCCUGGGCUCAACCUGGGAAUUGCAGUGGAUACUGGGUCACUAGAGUGUGGUAGAGGAUAGUGGAAUUUCCGGUGUAGCAGUGAAAUGCGUAGAGAUCGGAAGGAACAUCUGUGGCGAAGGCGACUAUCUGGGCCAACACUGACACUGAGGCACGAAAGCGUGGGGAGCAAACAGGAUUAGAUACCCCUGUAGUCCCUGUCUCUUAUACA
rnacentral:rRNA from 1 species